UGUGUAGGCGGUUCUUUAAGUUUGGUGUGAAAUCUCCCGGCUCAACCGGGAGGGUGCGCCGAAUACUGAGGGACUAGAGUGUGGGAGAGGAAAGUGGAAUUCCUGGUGUAGCGGUGAAAUGCGUAGAUAUCAGGAGGAACACCGGUGGUGUAGACGGCUUUCUGGACCAUAACUGACGCUGAGACACGAAAGCGUGGGUAAGCAAACA
rnacentral:rRNA from 1 species